AUGCGCAGUGCUGCCCCUUGGUCCGGCGACGGAAGCUUCCUCAUUAACUCUUAAGUACUCCACGCUUCUGAAACGGGCGUAGGCACAGCGUCAGUUCUGUACAGUGCGGACGCAGCAGGACAGAAUCUCCCUGGGCAUCUUUCUGGAGCAUCAGUUUUACUGCAAGAUUUUAAGAAACAAAUUUAAUUGAUUUCCAAGUUAAGAAAUUAAACCUUGAAAACUAGACUAAAAAGUCAUCUGCACCUGACGUAACAGACUUUCUGCAGGAAGAAAACUCUAAGGAGAGCAUAUUGUCCAUUAUUAUAAAUAGUGAAAAUGAGAAAUCAUAGCAAGUCCCUUGAAAACCCUGCCCUGCCAGUCUUCUAAUAGGGCCUUGGUAUGGUUUUAUGUGUAUUUUCUUUUUGAAGUGUGCUCACCUUUUGA
rnacentral:lncRNA from 1 species